rnacentral:rRNA from 1 species
AUUGAACGCUGGCGGCAUGCCUUACACAUGCAAGUCGAACGGCAGCACGGGUGCUUGCACCUGGUGGCGAGUGGCGAACGGGCGAGUAAUACAUCGGAACGUACCUAAGCGUGGGGGAUAUCGCAGCGAAAGCGUCGCUAAUACCGCAUACGCACAGAGGGGGAAAGCGGGGGAUCGGAAGACGUUGGGCGGUGAGGUUGGGCGAUGCCUGAUUAGCUAGUUGGUGGGGUAAAAGCCCACCAAGGCGACGAUCAGUAGCUGGUCUGAGAGGACGAUCAGCCACACUGGGACUGAGACACGACCCAGACUCCUACGGGAGGCAGCAGUGGGGAAUUUUGGACAAUGGGGGCAACCCUGAUCCAGCAAUGCCGCGUGAGUGAAGAAGGCCUUCGGGUUGUAAAGCUCUUUUGUCAGGGAAGAAACACCGGCUCUAACACAGUCCGGGAAUGACGGUACCUGAAGAAUAAGCACCGGCUAACUACGUGCCAGCCGCCGCCGUAA